rnacentral:rRNA from 1 species
UACGGAGGGUGCAAGCGUUAUCCGGAUUCACUGGGUUUAAAGGGUGCGUAGGAGGGCAGGUAAGUCAGUGGUGAAAUCUCCAAGCUUAACUUGGAAACUGCCGUUGAUACUAUCUGUCUUGAAUACCGUGGAGGUGAGCGGAAUAUGUCAUGUAGCGGUGAAAUGCUUAGAUAUGACAUAGAACACCAAUUGCGAAGGCAGCUCGCUACACGAAUAUUGACUCUGAGGCACGAAAGCGUGGGGAUCAAACAGA